rnacentral:lncRNA from 1 species
CUUUUGAUCUCAGCCGUCCAUUUUGAUUUAAUCUGGACUGUCCGUUUUUUAUUGAAUCUGGGCCGUCCGUGCGAUUGCAUCUGGGCCGUCCGAUUGCACGUUUGAUCUGGGCCGUCCGAUCGCGCAUACGCGGAUCGCCAACGUGGCCCGUCCCGGAUCGACGUGGUCUUGCCACGUGGCAGGUUCCGGUUGGCCGGGACUGCUGACUGGGUCUGCUGACGUGGCUGCUGACGUGGCCCCCCC